CCGCCGCCACGGCCGCCUCGUCGGCCUCCCCCCCGCCCGGACGGGCCGCCAUCCGCCGCCACACACACCCGUCCGGUACAGGACCUAUUUAUGCUACAGACCCACUCCUAUAUCUGUUCCUGUUAACACUGCAUAAGCUUAUACACUUAUUAGUAAACCACUGAUGGACCACUUUAUCUGAUACUCUUCAGCCAAACACAAAAGGAAUCUAUUAAAAAUCCUCGGAAAGAACUGCAGUUUCAAAGAUGGACAGAGAGAGACUGAAAAGAAGCAUGAAAAAUUCUACAUGGAAAAAAAAAUCAUAUUUUUGGGGAAGUUACACCGAGUAGAACACCUAAAAUAAUGCAUCUAGUUUCCAAAUAAGAUGAUGUUUAAAGCCCUGCUGUGUGCAUGGGGUCAAUGAUUUCUCUACUUCACUGUAAUUUUCUUUCCUAAACUUUCCCUCUGAUUCUUCAUUUUGCACGAACUGUUGAGCAGUUAUCUUUACAACGCUAUGUAAAAAUGUUGGGUCAAAGCCCCUCUAAAAAAGGGGGAUAUUUUUAGUAGAUUAUUGUGUUUAGGGUUUGGGAUUUCUUUCUUCUGGUUUUUUGUUGUUUUUGGUUUUUUUGGGUUUUUUUGAUUAAGUAAAUUAUUUCCUUUUGAGACAUUUUGAUUAAAAAGGCACAUCUUACCAUAAUUAAUAUUCACUGUCAAUAAUAUUUAUUUUUAAAUAAAGAUUGGAAACAAGGUAAGACAUUUGUUUAUAAACUGUAUUGUAUAUUGCUGAAUAACAGUUGAAUAAAAAAGACUUUGAAAUAAC